CGGCAGGCUUAACACAUGCAAGUCGAGGGGCAGCACGGGUAGCAAUACCUGGUGGCGACCGGCGCAAGGGUGCGUAACGCGUGAGCAACAUGCCCUAUACAGGGGGAUAAUCCAGGGAAACUUGGUCUAAUAUCCCAUAGUAUUUAGAGGAGGCAUCUUCUAUAAAUUAAAGCUUCGGUGAUAUAGGAUUGGCUCGCGUGACAUUAGCUAGAUGGUGAGGUAACGGCUCACCAUGGCAAUGAUGUCUAGGGGUUCUGAGAGGAAGGCCCCCCACACUGGGACUGAGACACGGCCCAGACUCCUACGGGAGGCAGCAGUGAGGAAUAUUGGACAAUGGAUGGAAAUCUGAUCCAGCCAUGCCGCGUGCAGGAAGACAGCCCUAUGGGUUGUAAACUGCUUUUAUAUGGGAGCAAUAAGGUCUACGUGUAGACUGAUGAGAGUACCAUAUGAAUAAGCAUCGGCUAACUCCGUG
rnacentral:rRNA from 1 species